AUGCCUGUUCGAGCGUCAUUGCAACCCUCAAGCCUGGCUUGGUAUUGGGUGCCACUCUAGGUGCGCCCCAAAAUUAUCAGCAGCGGCAUCUGGCCUCCAGCGUAGUAAAUUUCUCGCUCUGGGGCUUGGUGACUGGCGGCUCAGAACCCAAAUUAUCAAAGGUUGACCUCGGAUCAGGUAGGGAUACCCGCUGAACUUAA
rnacentral:misc_RNA from 1 species